AACGAACGCUGGCGGCAUGCCUAACACAUGCAAGUCGAACGAGACCUUCGGGUCUAGUGGCGCACGGGUGCGUAACGCGUGGGAACCUGCCCUUAGGUUCGGAAUAACUCCCCGAAAGGGGUGCUAAUACCGGAUAAUGUCUUCGGACCAAAGAUUUAUCGCAUUUGGAUGGGCCCGCGUUGGAUUAGCUAGUUGGUAGGGUAAAAGCAUACCAAGGCGACGAUCCAUAGCUGGUCUGAGAGGAUGAUCAGCCACACUGGGACUGAGACACGGCCCAGACUCCUACGGGAGGCAGCAGUGGUGAAUAUUGGACAAUGGGCGAAAGCCUGAUCCAGCAAUGCCGCGUGAGUGAUGAAGGCCUUAGGGUUGUAAAGCUCUUUUACCCGGGAUGAUAAUGACAGUACCGGGAGAAUAAGCUCCGGCUAACUCCGUG
rnacentral:rRNA from 1 species